CCUACGGGUGGCAGCCGUGUGGCAUAUUGGGCAAUGGGCGCAAGCCUGACCCCGCCAUGCCGCGUGAAGGAAGAAGGCUUUCGGGUUGUAAACUUCUUUGACAGGGGAAGUGCAGAAGACGGUACCCUGAAACCACGCCACGGAUCACUACGUGCCAGCAGCCGCGGUAAUACGUAGGUGGCAAGCGUUAUCCGGAUGGACUGGGUGUAAAGGGCGUGUAUCCGGGACGGCAAGUCAGAUGUGAAAUCCGGAGGCUCAACCUCCGAAUUGCAUUUGAAACUGUGUUUCUUGAGUACUGGAGAGGCAGACGGAAUUCCGUGUGUAGCGGUGAAAUGCGUAGAUAUAAGGAGGAACACCAGUGGCGAAGGCGGUCUGCUGGACAGCAACUGACGGUGAGGCGCGAAAGCGUGGGGAGCAAACAGGAUUAGAUACCCGAGUAGUC
rnacentral:rRNA from 1 species